rnacentral:rRNA from 1 species
AGUGAACGCUGGCGGUAGGCCUAGCACAUGCAAGUCGAACGGCAGCACAGAGGAGCUUGCUCCUUGGGUGGCGAGUGGCGGACGGGUGAGGAAUACAUCGGAAUCUACUCUGUCGUGGGGGAUAACGUAGGGAAACUUACGCUAAUACCGCAUACGACCUACGGGUGAAAGCAGGGGAUCUUCGGACCUUGCGCGAUUGAAUGAGCCGAUGUCGGAUUAGCUAGUUGGCGGGGUAAAGGCCCACCAAGGCGACGAUCCGUAGCUGGUCUGAGAGGAGGAGAAGCCACACUGGAACUAAGACACGGGCCAGACUCCUACGGGAGGCAGCAGUGGGGAAUAUUGGACAAUGGGCGCAAGCCUGCUCCAGCCAUACCGCGUGGGUGAAGAAGGCCUUCGGGUUGUAAAGCCCUUUUGUUGGGAAAGAAAUCCAUCUGGUUAAUACCCGGGUGGGAUGACGGUACCCAAGGAAUAAGCACCGGCUAACUUCGUGCCAGCAGCCGCCGUAA